UCCACCAGGGGAUCUCCAGAGCAACCAUUCCAUUCCGACGACGUUGCUCAUUCGCUGAAUUUGAACGACGACCGCUGGUGAUAUUUCAUAAUAGUUCCUCGACGUUUAUUAAUAUUUAACGAUUUCCACGGCUUUACAAAUUUGGUAUUACAGUUAUUGACCUAUUUUCCUGAUCGAUCUUGGAAAACUUUUUGGAUUUCUGAGCAGAUUGACUACACAUCGGACGAGAUAACCAAGAUGGUGACUGGGGCCAAGGAUUUACUCCCUGCGAUGAGCAGUGAUGGUCUGAGAGUUAUUUUUGACCAAGACUUGGGAUCCAAUUCUGUCUCAACCAAAUCUGUCUCUAGAAGCGGAAGUGACUGCUCGGACUCCGGCCACGGCUCUGGCACACGCGAGACCAACAGAGGGCGCCAUAGAUCAUCGUCCAACUCGUCAUCCACAUCUUCCUUGUCCAGUAGCAACCGGCCCAGAUCCCGCUCUCACCCUCGUUGCCAUAGAAACUCAUCCCGCUGUCGCUGCCCCACUCAUUACAGACAAGCCCACGGGAACCGACGUCACCGCUCACCACCACCCCGGCGUGCCAGAGCCAAUUCCCGCUCUUGCAGUCCUUCUUCCCUGCCGGUCAGGUCCAGUCGCCACAGAAGUAACCGGUCUCGCCACAGUUCCAGCAGCCGGCAGAGGACAAGCCCAGGGUUGGAGGGCCGUGACAGGAAGAGAACCCCCAAGUCCCCCUCAAAGAGCCAUCACAGCCGGUCCAGGUCCUCGAGGCGAUCGGCCGCCAGCCCAACUCUGGAUGAGGAAAAGGAACUCCUCAGAGCAGUGAAGGAAGACGCCACUGAGAUCCUAAGGGUUGAUCUUCCAGAGAGCACGACUCCCACACUAGACGAACCAUGCGAGGAAUGUCCCACACCAGAACCACAGGCAUGGGUGAGGCAAGAGGACGUUCCAGAAAAGGUUCCAUCCCAGGUGGGUUUCAACAAAAGCUUAAUGGCAAUGCUAGCACACCUUGAGGCUUCACCAAACAAUUAUGUGAUUUUUGAAUAAGGCCUUGUGGAGGCCAUUCAAUUAUUCGUAUUCAUUUCUGGUUUUGGGAUCGGCCUCCAUUUGUAAUUGAAAUUUAAACUUGUAAUAUUUCAACCUCUUUCACACAAAACUCAGGUGACCCAAAACCCAAUCAAUGUCUUAUACCUCAGAAUGGAUUAAGUCCAUGGAGGCUAGAAUUACAAAGUGUAGGUUCGGCACAUCCCUACACGUGUCCUUUCCUUUGACUUCCUGAUCACAUGACAGUGGUCUCCUUCAAUCAUCGGCACCUCGGAUUAGGAGAAUAAGAGGGCAGUCAUGUGCCUUGGGUGACGCCAUAAGUGUUUGCGCGAAAGGUUAACUGACUCAUAAUGUUCACCAUGAUAUUGACUAGAUUCUUCCUAGUUUUUCAGUUAUUACAUCUUCCUGAAUUGUUUGUAAAAACAGUCAAAUUCUUAUGAAUGCAAAAUUUUAUGUUUAGAAAUAUAGGUGACUCUCAUGGCAUUCUUUCAAUUUUAUUUCUGUGUCAUUGUUGGCUUGACAUUAGAAAUGUAUUUACAUUUGCAGUUGAAAUGGGUCGUUAUUUAGCAGAACCGUCCCACUCGCUGAAGGAGCACAAGGCGUGUGGACAGCAUUAUAGUGACUAUUCCUGUCCAGAAAACUAAAAACCCAAGAAGAACUCCCUCCCUCCGUAUGCCAAAGAUAAGUUGGUACACCAGGCGUGUGCUGAUUGGGGCUGGGGGAAACUGCGUCACCUUUCUGCCACUCUACACAGAGAAGAGAUCCUUUUCUACUUUUGUUUGUCUUUUUUGUUUUGGUUUCAAAGCGCUACAAUUACCAAUGUUAUCGGUGGGCCUAGCCUAUCCAUUGCAGAAAAUGCAUGAAAGCUGCCGUUAGUCGAAGCUAGCACUUGUACAAGCAACACAUGAAUUAAAGCCAUAAGUUUAACCAGCCUGCUUCUCUAUUGGUCAUGCAACAUGGAAUAUAAUAGCACACAUACGCACACUGGACGAACUGCUUUAUCACCGUAAGCCCUUGUGUCGGCCGUUAUCUCACUGGUGCUUUUGUUUUGUCUUUUAAACAGAACAGCGACGCAAAGACGAAUGGCCAACGCUCAAAAGUCUCUCCAAUUAGGAGGAUCAUCGCUUUCAGCAUUCAUAAUUCUAUCGCCAAGCCAACCGUUGCCCCGGUAACGUCUGCUAAGGUAACGCCCAGAGUGGACGGCAUUGAGAGCAGAAAGCCCUACGGUCACUGGGUUCAAAUCAGACGAGGCGGCCGGGCAAACAAGCGCACCACCUCACGCUAGUGUGGCCGCAAGUCGACGCUGUAAAUAAUGUGUAUAGCUAUUCACAUAAGCCUUGGGCUACGCUAUGUUUUUUUUCAGAUGUAUAAAGUGAGUUAUGUGGGGAGAAGAAAUGGAACAAUGCGCUCAGGUUGGAAUCUCUUGGUCCCCUUUUUGUUGUGUUCUAUGAAGACUUCAAUAAAUGCCUAUUGAAUAAAA